UUUAUUUAUGAGAGAGAGUGCAUGCAAGAGGGGGAGGAGCAGAAGGGAAGGGAGAAAGAAUCUCCAGUCAACUCUGUGCUAAGUGCAGAACUGGAAGCAAGGCUCCAUCUCACAACUCUGAGAUCAUGACCUGAGGCAAAACCAAGAGUUGGAAGCUUAACCAACUGGGCCACGCAGGAACCCCCAGAAGUUCAUUUUUUUAAAAGUGUGUUUUCAGAAAAGUUCCCAUCUCACGCCUGGGUGGCUCAGCAGUUGAGUGUCUGCCUUCACUUCAGGCCAUGAUCCUAGGAUCCAGGAUCGAGUCCUGCCUCGGGCUCCCUGGGGAGCCUACUUCUCCUUCUGCCUGUGUCUUUGCCUGUGUGUCUCUCAUGAAUAAAUAAAUCUUUAAAAAAUAAGUUUCCAUCUCUAGCUUUCUUGAAGAAUUUUUUUAGAGUCUAUCUUAAAGAAAAUGUAGAGAGGUCUCUUCUAAAGAAAUUGAGUAAGAGCAAUACAAAAAAACCUAACAUCAGUAAUAGUAGUUCCAAGAAAAAACAGAAAAAAUAGAAAUAAGGACAUUCUCUUUUUUUUUCCUUAAGAUUUUAUUUAUUUAAUUAUUCAUGAGAGACAGAGAGAGAGAGAGGCAGAGGCACAGGUAGAGGGAGAAGCAGGCUCCCUGCAAGAACCCGGAUGCAGGACUCAAUCCUAGGACCCCAGGACCACGAUGCAAGCCAAAGGCAGACGCACAACCACUGAGCCACGCAGGCACCCCUAGCACUGGGCUUUGCAAUGACACUAUGGGUUGCCAAAAAACCGUGGAAUAAUAUUGUUAAAGUUCUAAUGAAAAAAUGAUUUUGAACCUGGAAUUCUAUAUGCCACCACAAACUAUCAUCCAAAUGUGAUAUAGACUAAAUCCAUUUUCAGAUAUGGAACAGCUUAAAACAAUUUACCUCCCAUACACCGUUUCUUUAAAAAUUUCUUGGGGAUGUAUUCCAGUGAAACAUGGGAAUGAACCAAGAAGGUGAAAAGAAGUCCCAGGAUGACAGCUGUGCAUCUGGCCUUGAGGCAGUUCAAACUGGGAAAGAUGGAUAGAAGGUCUUGCCUGGGGUGCGGCGGAGACUCCAGGAAAAAGCGACACACAAAACCACACCUGAUAUGUAUAGAAAUAAUCAAAAAGUAAAGGUAAGUAGUAUAAGAAAAGGAGGAGUUUUAGAAACUUCAUGGGGAAAAGCUAUACAAGAAAAAUAUAAUCAUAGUAUAAUACCACGUCAAUUCAUAAUUUUCAUAGAGUCACAAUAAUGACAUUUUAUUGCCUUUUGGCUUUUAGGCCUAACCUGUAGGCAACAUAUGGAAAAUUAAAUUGUGACAGAACAGACCAUAAAUGUUAUCAACUGUGACGAUGCAAUGACAAAGUAUAGAAGUUAGUUGGGAAAGAAAGGAGAGGAGAACUAAAUGCCAGGAUACAGUCACUAAUAUCCUCAUCUUACAAGAUGAGCAAUGGAGGAAAAUACCUACAGUGUAUGAAAUUAAAAAUUAAGGUGUGGUAAUACCUUUUAAGUUAUUAGGAAAGUGGGAAGUGGUAUCACUGAAUGAAUAUUUCAUAAUGGCUUUUAUUAUAAAGGAAGCAAAUUUUCAUAAUGUCUAAAAUUGAUAAAUCAAACAAUGAUAGAAAAAGCACAUGUAAAAACAUAAAAGCACUACCAGAUAUUUGUUACCAGUGGUUGAUUCUUGAGAAUGGAGUAAAGGUGGAAUGGAUGGAGCAAGGGAUUCUUACUCUUAGCCAUGUGCCCAUAUUACUUGAAUAAAAAUUAUGUAUAAAUAGAAUAAUAGAUUGAAAGGCAAAUAGACUGGAUUCUUUUUUUUAAACGUAUAGUCAGGUGACAUGGAAUUUGUAAGAUUAAUGUGUCAAGAUAAUUGGAAAGAGAGGAAGUCAGAAACAAGGGUAGUUUCUUUAGGGCAGCUGUGACUACAGGAUCUCUGGCUGUUCUCCAGAGUAUUAGAUUUACUUCUCCCAUAAUGCUGAAUUUUCUGGCUUUAAAGGCCUGUCAACUAGAUAGAUAAUGUAAUCAAUUAUCCCUUUGAGGCAGGAAUUUAUAUCAGUACAAUAAAUUUUAGUCUCUCUGAUGAACAAAGGGCUACAUCACCCAGCUGAAUAGUCAGAGAAUCAGACAAAUCUGAGCAAAGUGGGCAAGGAGAAAGAAUUGAGACAAAGUGCUA
rnacentral:lncRNA from 1 species